ensembl:lncRNA
AUCUUCUUGAAACCUUAACUCUGCCUACAGGUUUUCUUGCACAGUGUACUUCACACUUACAUAAUGUGAAGUUCUGGAUCAAUACACUUACAUCAUUUUCUUUCCUAAUUCACAGAGAAUUCAGUCCUGUUCUUCCUAAAUCAACAGCAGAAGGAUGUGAACCACAGAAUGGUGAUGAAUGACCAAGGUACCAGCUGAAAAAUACUCUGCCCUGUUCUUCAGCUGGCUUGUUUGAAAUGCAAUGAGUAGAACAGAGAAGCAUGUGCUGCACAACUAUCUGUGAAGAGAUUCUUACACUUAGGGACCUUUGGAAUCUGUACUGGGUUCACAUGGCAGGCGAAGAACUGAAUCUCAACAGUGGAGUGACUGCCUCUGAUUUACAGAUUUCUCAAAGGAGCCAACACCAAACCCACAUCCCAUCUGCAGAAGAAAGAAUUGUCCCCAGAGUUAUGGCCUUCUUGGAGCUUUAUGGGGCCUUUGAAGUGUGACUCAAGUCAGCAUGGGAGAAAGAGUGCAGCAUCGAUUUUCUGUUUCCAUUGUGUCAGCUGGAAAUGGGAUCAGCAUGGAGGAUGCAGCUGGGUUGAAGCAAAUGCUGUGAUAGACUCCAGGCCUUGAAGGCAAUACCCAAAAGAAUAUCCCUUUGUCCAAAGUGAGUCCCCAAGGCAGAACCUCAAUGAGCAGAAUGAGGUGGGGGUCAGCAGGAGACACAGGAAGCCACCAAGUCAUUCAAAUCUGCAUGGACACCACUUAGGCACAAGAAACCGAGCUGAAGAAACACAAAGCACUCUUAAAUCUGGUGAUUCCUAACCUUCAUGUUUUCUUACACUUAACUGAUAUUGUUUUCCUAG